CUUUAGCAAUGUGUACAUUAGAUGUUUAUUUCCCCUAAUUGGGGAACACUGUAGAAAUAACGCCAGCCACUUAAUUAAACUGUAGCAUGGUAAAUUCAAAGCACAUGCACAUAAAAUCCGUGGGAUGUCUACUAAACAUAAAUCAAUUAAAAUGUGUUUGGUGGUUAUGGGUCCUGAUGUAUGUUCAUCAUACCAAUAAGAAAUUUUUGAUAUGAA